CCGGUGAAUUGAUAUCAGUAAUCUCUGAAUGACCUGUCAGUGCAAGAAAUGCUGCAGUUGAACUGACAUCAGUAAUACCGUAUGGAGUGGCCUAUGCAUGGUGACACAUUUCACUUUCAAGCAAAAAUAUGUUACUUUCUUAAGUCACUUAGAGGCUGAUCAUGCAUGUUUUGACUUUUUUGCAAUGCUGCCGAUGCAUUGACAUGGGAAAUCUAUGAUGGACCCACCAGUGCAAUGUGAGAAAUGUUUACAAUGAAUUCACGUCAGUAAUCUCACAUGAAUCUGCCAAGGCAAGGAAUGUUGCUGAUGAAUUGAGAUAAUUAAUCUUGGAUGAAGCUACCAAUGGAAGGUGAGGAUGAAUUUCUCCCAGGAAUUUCAGGGACAAAAGAAAGGAUGAAUACGCAGAAAACAGGGUAAUUUUGGUAUAGUGAAACUAUUCUCUAUGGUACUUUACUGGUAGACACAGUAUAUGUGCUGGAACCUAUGUAGUCCACAAUGCAGAGCGAACCCUAAUGUACAU